rnacentral:rRNA from 1 species
CAACCUGCCCUUUACUCGGGGAUAGCCUUUCGAAAGAAAGAUUAAUACCCGAUAGCAUAAUGAUUCCGCAUGGUUUCAUUAUUAAAGGAUUCCGGUAAAGGAUGGGGAUGCGUUCCAUUAGGUUGUUGGUGAGGUAACGGCUCACCAAGCCUUCGAUGGAUAGGGGUUCUGAGAGGAAGGUCCCCCACAUUGGAACUGAGACACGGUCCAA